UAAUACAUGCAAGUCGAGCGAACGGACGAGAAGCUUGCUUCUUCUGAUGUUAGCGGCGGACGGGUGAGUAACACGUGGAUAACCUACCUAUAAGACUGGGAUAACUUCGGGAAACCGGAGCUAAUACCGGAUAAUAUUUUGAACCGCAUGGUUCAAAAGUAAAAGACGGUCUUGCUGUCACUUAUAGAUGGAUCCGCGCUGCAUUAGCUAGUUGGUAAGGUAACGGCUUACCAAGGCAACGAUGCAUAGCCGACCUGAGAGGGUGAUCGGCCACACUGGAACUGAGACACGGUCCAGACUCCUACGGGAGGCAGCAGUAGGGAAUCUUCCGCAAUGGGCGAAAGCCUGACGGAGCAACGCCGCGUGAGUGAUGAAGGUCUUCGGAUCGUAAAACUCUGUUAUUAGGGAAGAACAUAUGUGUAAGUAACUGUGCACAUCUUGACGGUACCUAAUCAGAAAGCCACGGCUAACUACGUGCCAGCAGCCGCGGUAAUACGUAGGUGGCAAGCGUUAUCCGGAAUUAUUGGGCGUAAAGCGCGCGUAGGCGGUUUUUUAAGUCUGAUGUGAAAGCCCACGGCUCAACCGUGGAGGGUCAUUGGAAACUGGAAAACUUGAGUGCAGAAGAGGAAAGUGGAAUUCCAUGUGUAGCGGUGAAAUGCGCAGAGAUAUGGAGGAACACCAGUGGCGAAGGCGACUUUCUGGUCUGUAACUGACGCUGAUGUGCGAAAGCGUGGGGAUCAAACAGGAUUAGAUACCCUGGUAGUCCACGCCGUAAACGAUGAGUGCUAAGUGUUAGGGGGUUUCCGCCCCUUAGUGCUGCAGCUAACGCAUUAAGCACUCCGCCUGGGGAGUACGACCGCAAGGUGAAACUCAAAGGAAUUGACGGC
rnacentral:rRNA from 1 species